rnacentral:rRNA from 1 species
CGUGCGAAGGUAGCGUAAUCACUUGUCUAUUAAAUACAGACCAGUAUGAAUGGCAUCACGAGGGUUAUACUGUCUCCCAACUUCAAUCAGUUAAACUGAUCUCCCCGUGAAGAAGCGGGGAUCCCAUUACAAGACGAGAAGACCCCAUGAAGCUUUAAACUAAAAGUCAACUGCUAAACCAAAUACCACUUAAUACAACAGUUAUGACCCAAAAGUUUUCGGUUGGGGCGACCACGGAGUACCACAAAACCUCCGCGAUGAANGAACCUUAAAUUCUUACCCAAGAGCCACACCCCAAA